GGUGUUUAUAAUACUUUGACUUGAAAAGAUACUUGAAAUCAUAGGAAAUAACUUCAUUCUAAACAUGGGUAUUGCCAAAGUCUUGCCCACAAAGUUCAAAGGUCAAAUCCAGUAUCUGCCAAUAUACUGGAUAGUAAGAUUAUCUCACUAUCUGCCGAUAGAGGGAGGGGGAAAUUGCCCUGGGCCCCAACCUUAAUAGGGCCCCAACUUGCAUGAGAGCCUAAAAUUGAGUAUGUCCUUUAAAUUGAUGAGAGCAUUUUUGAAAUUGAGGGCCGCUUACAGUAGCUCCACAUGCAGUCUAGCUAAGGUCUAGUCAUGGGGCCCCCAGAGAAGAUUUGCCCAGGGCUCUGCAAAUUCUCUCGGCAGCCCUGAGCCUGGAUAUGAUAUCCGGUAUAUUUCAAACCUUUGUCCAAGCACAGGUAGAUUCACUCAGUAAGAAUGUCAUUUUAUCUGUUCCGUACGGCGGUACAUUUUCAGAGGGCAAUGUAAACAGCUCUUAUAUAGCAAUAAAGACAGGUGCUUUGAGCUGACCUGCCUGAAAAGUCUCAAGUAAACAUGGAUGAAAUUCUACUUGGUUGUUGGUACAACACUAUGUACAAUGAACUCUGGUAUCUGGGCUACCUCGGUUCCAUAUAAACACACAACUUGACCAGGGCCGUAGCUAGACCGAUGAUUUGGGGGGGGGGGGGUAUAUUCAUAUAUUCGUGUUCUGCCCAGACAGAUUUCUUUUGAAAGCGAUUGUUUUUACGGUAUGUGAACAUGAAUAUAUGAAUAUACACCACCCCAAUUAUCGCGUCUAGCUACGGCCCUGAACUUGAUUCAUAAGUCAUAAACAUUUACUAAUUAUGGCAUUAUGCCAUAUUAGUGUCUGCAUAGUACUUAGCAUAUUGGGAUAUUUCUUCAGGGCAAUCAGGAGAUCAUAUAUAAUUUUUGAGCUUGGAAUUCCUCAGAGGUAUAACUAUGAGAAACAUGAUGUUUGUGAUGUUACUCUGAGU